UUUUUUUUUUUUUUUUUGAUAAUCAUGAUGUCGGGACCAGCUCGACUACUUCCACAAGAUACUUGUCUCUCGAAAUUUUCUCAGCUAUUGCAAGUUCUGACCACAAGAAUUGUCCACAAUAUACUAACUAUAGGAUAUCAAUAUUAGAACCUCAACUUCUGAUGACUUUAACACUCUACCAUCACAUCCAAAAAAAAAAAAAAAAGGA
rnacentral:misc_RNA from 1 species